AGAGUUUGAUCAUGGCUCAGGAUGAACGCUGGCGGCGUGCCUAAUACAUGCAAGUCGAGCGGAGAAUUUAGCAAUAGAUUCUUAGCGGCGAACGGGUGAGUAACGCGUUGGUGACCUGCCUCGAAGUUUGGGAUAACAGUUCGAAAGGACUGCUAAUACCGGAUGUGAUCGCGGAGAUUAGAGGCUCUGUGAUUAAAGGAGAAAUUCGCUUCGAGAGGGGCCUGCGUCCCAUCAGCUAGUUGGUAAGGUAAAGGCUUACCAAGGCGAUGACGGGUAGGGGACCUGAGAGGGUGGCCCCCCACAAUGGAACUGAAACACGGUCCAUACACCUACGGGUGGCAGCAGUAGGGAAUAUUGCACAAUGGGCGAAAGCCUGAUGCAGCAACGCCGCGUGUGCGAUGUAGGCCUUCGGGUCGUAAAGCACUUUCUGAGGGAUGAGCAAGGACAGUACCUCAGGAAUAAGUCUCGGCUAACUACGUG
rnacentral:rRNA from 1 species